rnacentral:rRNA from 1 species
AGUGAACGCUGGCGGUAGGCCUAACACAUGCAAGUCGAACGGCAGCACAGUAAGAGCUUGCUCUUACGGGUGGCGAGUGGCGGACGGGUGAGGAAUACAUCGGAAUCUACUUUUUCGUGGGGGGUAACAUAGGGAAACUUACGCUAAUACCGCAUACGACCUACGGGUGAAAGCAGGGGAUCUUCGGACCUUGCGCGAUUGAAUGAGCCGAUGUCGGAUUAGCUAGUUGGCGGGGUAAAGGCCCACCAAGGCGACGAUCCGUAGCUGGUCUGAGAGGAUGAUCAGCCACACUGGAACUGAGACACGGUCCAGACUCCUACGGGAGGCAGCAGUGGGGAAUAUUGGACAAUGGGCGCAAGCCUGAUCCAGCCAUACCGCGUGGGUGAAGAAGGCCUUCGGGUUGUAAAGCCCUUUUGUUGGGAAAGAAAAGCAGCAGGUUAAUACCCCGCUGUUCUGACGGUGCCCAAAGAAUAAGCACCGGCUAACUUCGUG